AUAUAUUGUGCGAGUAUAUCUUAAAAGGAUCAAUUGCAUACAAGUUCCUGCAAAUAUAGUAAAUUACAUAUAUAUUCCUGUAAAGUUCAACUUUCAUAAGUUAUUCCUAUAAAAGUUCUAAUAUUUUUAGAUAUGUCUCUACCGUUAAAAUUCGUUAGAAAAGUUUAGUUAACCAAAGGUUAAAUAUUUUAUCCGGAUUAAUUUUUAACCUUUUUAUUCCUCUUAUAUUAUACUGUUAUAACUUUUAGAGGGACAUAUUUGUGAUGGCAAAAUUAGAAAUAUAAAUAAUUUUCUAACAAUUCUCUAAUGGUAACAAACUAGAGUGACAUAUCUGAAAAUAUUAGGACUUUUGCAUAGAAAAUUUAUAAAAGUUGAACUUUAUAGAAAUAUAUUUAUAAUUUAUUAUAUUUGCGGGGAUCAGUAU
rnacentral:lncRNA from 1 species